AUACCAACAUGUUCAGCGAUGGAUGCCAAGGACCCUCUGGAACGCUCUGACUCUGUUACAGAUUUCCAAGUUUUUGCUGUUUCAGAUCUGAAGUGGAAAAAGUAAUAAGGUGAAAUAUAACGCAGAUACUGUACGACUGACAACAGUAAGCAGGCCUCCUUAGACAAGCCUCUCCUCUUCCCUACAGCAGGAUCUCCACUCGGCUCUCUGCUCCUGCUGUAGUACCAAGAGACGAACUCUCACUGCACCACCUGGUGCAGGUUCACAAUACACACUGCAUCUCUGCUUCCUCAGUUACUGUGUAACACUUUGUUUAUUAAACAAACAGUAUUUUUACUUGU